rfam:Strongylocentrotus purpuratus Contig30097_fixed, whole genome shotgun sequence.
AAACAGGCUCUUUUCAGAGCCACCAACACUCCAAGAUAGAUUCCA